ensembl:snoRNA
CCCCAUUUUAAAAGCACUCAGUAGGCCUUUUGCUGAUGACUCAUUGAGCUGUCAAAAAGGGCAGAAUAAAAACACAGCUUGUGGAUGAAGGGGCAGCAUGUUGUGUUGCUUUGCUUCAGUUGGUGGUAUGACAAAG